CUGAGGGCAGCGCUGUCUCAUUUUUGCCUUUAUGUUCUCCUUAAACAGUACAGUUCCGGCCACAAACGAAGCACUGAAAAAUGCUGGUUGAAUUGAACGGAUCCGAACUGAAGAAUCGUUGCUUAUCCAGGAUUCUAACACUUUAGUCCUCUCUACAUACAAAGCAGUCCAAUGAUAUUAGCCUGCAUGACAUUCCUCACUCAAGACUUUCCAUCUCCUGGUUCAGAUGAAUGAUAACUGCCAUAGAAAUUCCAUCUAACACCUGUGUCUGUUGGAAGUUGUGACAGAGGCUGGCACUAAAGGAAGAGUUUUCUCCUCGUCUGGAGGAGGGGCCCCAGGAGGCUGGAAUCUUGAGAAGCCAGAAGGUUCCUUCUGAAGAGCAGUUGGUCUCUCAGUUUUGAGAAGCUGAAGAGAGAGGGCUGGUUAAGACUCUCCUGAGGGUUACCCACUGUUUUCCUGCUAAUGAUUGGAAAUCAUUAACCCCAACAUUUCCCAAUUGAAAAGACUACUGAAGAGAAACCUGAGAAAAGACAUUUUUGAGUUUCUGUCAGACUUUACCUCAGCUCCUGGUGUCCUGGGUCUGAACUGUGGCCAAGGGACCAAACCCAGGGUCAGCCAACCUGACUUUCUCUCAGGGGGCUCAGGUUGCCAAAGCCUGAGUUCCCCACAAACUCGAGGAGGGAGGGAAAAGGGGUUAGUUAGAAAGAGGGACACCCUUUUCCCUACUUUACUUUCCCAUUCUUUCCCCUGCCAGUCAUUCCUUUAUACUACCCUAAUUGAAUUAAUUUAUGUUAAAGUGGUCAUCAUUUCCCAAAUUUGAAUCAAGUGUGAGUGAAUAGCUUCAAGGGGAGAGACAUCUUCCUAAGAAGAAACAUUUUAGUCUCUAGUAGUGGAGAGGGACAAGAGGGAUAAGAGCAAAUCUGGGAGAGGAGCCAUAGCUGAGGAGGGAAGGCUGAUGAUGGAAACUAAUCAAACCCCUUCGUCUCUCUUUGAGUCAACCUAAAGAUCAGCUAUCUUUCCUAGAUCCUGUUUCUUUUACUACCCACAAACCUCCAUUACAAAGUGUAAUAUUCUUGAUGCCCAUCUCUUUGCAUAAAAUGGUAGCCAAUGGAGAGUUAAUAGGUCUUGAUUUUAGAAGAUUAUUUUGAUAGUAUCAUCUAACCCACUUUUAAGCUGUUGUAGCAUUGUGGUGUUUUUUUUUUUAAACCCUUACCAUCCAUCUUAGAAUUAAUACUAUGUAUUGGUUCCAAGGCAGAAAAGUGGUAUUGGCUAGGCAAUUGGACUUAAGUGAUUUGCCCAGGGUCAUACAACUAGAAAGUGUCUGAGACCAGAUUUUAACCCAAGACUUCCCGUAUCUAGGCCUGGCUCUCAAUCCACUGAGCUACCCAGCUGCCCACUGUAGCAUUAUCUUUGAUUCCAAAACUUGUUUAUGUGUCUCCAGUGUAUAUAUACUAUAUUGGUACUAAUUUUUUAAUGCACAAAACAAUAUCCCCAAAUUUCCCAGGCAUCAAUUUUAUACCAUCUGUGCAAAUUCCACAAGAGGACCAAUUGAUUUAUUUUUCUUCACAUAUAAAUUAAUUAGAUUUAAAAUGCCUUUCUCAACUGGUAACAAAACAGCAUAUUCUACUUUCCCAUCAUGCAGAUAUCUUACAAAUACAAUUAAAAUUGCUAGCUUACAAACAUCAGUAGUCUCAUCUAGUUGCAAAGCAUAAAUGUGACUUUUUUGAACUCCUUCUAUAAUAAUUGAUUCAAUAUAGUUUGGCAUAUCAUGUAUCCAUUAAAACACUGUAUUGUUAGAAAUGGGUAUCAUCUCCAACUUGUUAACAGACCUAUCCCCAAAAAGCCUUGACAAUUACUUUGGCACAAGGAAAAAUUAUUCUGCAAUAUUAUCAGCUUCCCCAUUUUUUUUUUUACAAUUUGGAAACUUACUAAAUAUGAAGCCUCUAUUUCUUUUCUACUUUAUUGUUUAUUCAUGGAAAUAAACCAAUAUUGAGUGUUUUUACAUCUUAUUCUCUCCACUUAAAAAAAUAAACAUGUUUAUCCACAUUUUAUGCUUUGAUUGUGUGACUGGAAAUAUGGGUUUCAAGUCUGUGAAUUGCUCAAACUGUAAAGAUAAUUUUUAGCAUCUUGAUUUUAUAUCAAAAAUAAGUGGUCGCCAUGGGGAAAAUUCCCAAAGAUGAAAUACCCAAGUCAGCAGCAUUUUAUGGAGAUUUUAAUUAAUAUAAAUGAAGGAAUUGAAGAAAGGGAGAGAGGCAGAGAAAGAGGAAAUAAUAGGAAGGCUAGGGCCUAGGCCAAUGGCCUAGGCCUUUCUUUUAAGAGAGAAAACUAAGUCAGUCUUUAAUCACUCACCACAAGAUUGUCCCAAGCAAAACUCUAGUGUUCAGAGAGACCCUCCAGUUCAGCUUACAAAGCUGAUGUAAAUCAAACUCCCCUGAACUGGUUCAGACAGCUCCUUUAAAAGAGAAUUUUCUCCUAUGUCACCUCCCCUAAGUUUUCACAUCUACCAAUCACAGUAGAUGCUUUUUCAAAGGACUGACCAUUCUUAAUUCACAACUUGUUGUCGCCUUCUUAAUUCAUAUCUUGUUAUCACCUUCUCUGGGUAGACUAGAACUUCUGAGUAUUUCACAUCUCUUUGCUAAGCUUGCCCUUUUAGUGAUUAAUUUGACCUUCAUAGGUACUUAGCACCCUUUUGUAUUAAUCUAAAAAUAGACCUAGCUUAAGGGCUUUUGCCUCACUAUAAAUAUGAGUUAAGUACUUUUUCAUUGUUCAGUAAGGAGUCUACAACUUUAUCUUCCCCUAAGGUAUGCCCAAGUAUGGGUGGAGUAAUUUUAAAGUUCCCAAUACAUUCCUGAUCAAGUACCUCCAUUGUUUAAAUGGGAAUAGCCUUAACCAAAUGUUUUAAGGUAGAGUUUGAGCCAUUUUAAGAUUCACAAUUGUAAAUGCUGAGACAAAAGAAAUGGCUUAAAACUAUUUGCAAGAAUUUCUAUUAAAAUUAUACAUUGUGGU